rnacentral:rRNA from 1 species
CAGUAGCCGCGGUAAUACAGAGGGUGCAAGCGUUAAUCGGAUUUACUGGGCGUAAAGGGCGCGUAGGUGGUUAUGUAAGUGAGAUGUGAAAUCCCCGGGCUCAACCUGGGAACUGCAUCCUAUACUGCGUAGCUGGAGUGCAGUAGAGGGUAGUGGAAUUUCCGGUGUAGCGGUGAAAUGCGUAGAUAUCGGAAGGAACACCAGUGGCGAAUGCGGCUACCUGGGCUGACACUGACACUGAGGCGCGAAAGCGUGGGGAGCAGACAGGAUUAGAUACCCCGGUAGUCCCUGUCUCUUAUAC